rnacentral:RNase_P_RNA from 1 species
ACGGUAGAUCAGCCCGCCGCGGUGCCGGGUCGCAGAACGCUUCCAGCGCCGAGGAAAGUCCGGGCUCCGCAGGGCAUGAUGCCGGGUAACACCCGGGCGAGGCGCGUAUAAAUACGCUUCCCGACAGACAGCGCAACAGAAAGCAAACCGCCGGAGCUUGCAGCGCGUUUUCCGCUGGAAGUUGCCGGUAAGGGUGAAAUGGCGCGGUAAGAGCGCGCCGCGGAACCGGCGACGGUUCCGGCAUGGCAAGCCUCAUCAGGAGCAAAGUCAAACAGCGCAUGCAGCCGUCUAUAACGUUGCGUUAUAGGCGGUUGCGCGGAUUGCCCGUCCGUUAAGCGCGGGUAGACUGCUGGAAAUCAUCCGCAAGGGUGAUGCCAGAUAGAUGGCGGUGUAAUACCGGUCCGCCGGUACUAAACAGAACCCGGCUUAUGAUUUACCGUUUUU